GCACAGCCCUAGCAACCGACCCAGCCAGCAGGCCAGACCUAAUCAGGAAACGACAGAGUUGGCAAGCCUGAAAUGACAGAGGAUAGCCAAAGAGCGGGGACAGGAUCCAAACUCCAGGGUGCCAAAGGACCAAAUCGAGCUUUACUCCUCACUCCACUAAGCUUGUUGGUUGUGCUGGAGCUUUAGAGAAAGUUUGUAGAUAUAUAAGCCCAGGACCGGAGGGCUCUGCAGCGGGUGAUUAAAACUGCUC